GUUGAGUACAUUCCUACUCUUGACAUCCAGCGAAGCCUUUAGAGAUAGAGGGGUGCCUUCGGGAGCGCUGAGACAGGUGCUGCAUGGCUGUCGUCAGCUCGUGUUGUGAAAUGUUGGGUUAAGUCCCGCAACGAGCGCAACCCUUAUCCUUGUUUGCCAGCACAUAAUGGUGGGAACUCCAGGGAGACUGCCGGUGAUAAACCGGAGGAAGGGGGGGACAACGUCAAGUCAUCAUGGCCCUUACGAGUAGGGCUACACACGUGCUACAAUGGCAGAUACAAAGGGCAGCGACCCUGCGAAGUAAAGCGAAUCCCUUAAAGUCUGUCUUAGUCCGGAUUGGAGUCUGCAACUCGACUCCAUGAAGUCGGAAUCGCUAGUAAUCGUGGAUCAAAAUGCCACGGUGAAUACGUUCCCGGGUCUUGUAACACACCGA
rnacentral:rRNA from 1 species